CACAAAAUCUAAUCUGUCAAAAAAAAGAAUGGCAGAUUAUUUUGCAAAUGUGUUUCUGGAAAUCCUUCGUGAAUUGCUGGUUGAGUUUUUUCUUAGUGUGUAAGGUGAUGUUGACAAAGUCAAAGGAGAUUUGAGAAGCAUACAUGCAUUGUUGAUGAAAGCAGAUAGAGAGAGACGUGAUUCUCCAACUCUAAAGCUUUACAUUUCCCAACUCAAAGAUCUCGCUUUCAAAGCUAAGAAUCUGCUCGAAACGUAUGCUGUUGAAGCUCAAUCCAAAAGGGAAGGGUGAAAGAGUCUCAAGGAAAAACUCCAAAGGUACAUUUGCAUCAUUUGUGAGUGCUACAGCGUCCACCAUGUUGGGGACGAGGCUCGCGACAUAAUAUCCACCUUAUCCGGCCUCACUAACAAGUUAGAGUCGGAGUUGGGACAAGAAUGCUCAUCUCUCAUGAAGCAGGACGCUGAGACAGACGUAUGCGCAGGAGGUUGAGCCUCAUUUCGUGGGCAUGGAGAGAGACAUCGCGCUUUUGGUCUCCAAGGUGAAGGAUGAUAAACGGCCCCGAGUAGUGAAGAUAUGGAAUGGGUGGUCUCGGAAAAACUACUCUCGCCAGAAAGGUUUACAACCACAGAGACCUCCAAAGUUAUGCUCGGGCUUGGGUUUGCAUCACCCAACAGUAUCAUCCUAAGGCUGUUUUCGUCAAUAUUUUGAAACAACUCUGCACCAGCAACCAAAAAAUUGAUGACUUGAAAGUUGAGGAUUUGGUGACAAGAAUUCAUAGUUUUUCAAAGGAGAGAAAAUGUUUGGUGGUGAUUGAUGAUAUUUGGAAUAAUGAUGAUUGGGAGAUCAUAAAGCAAGCUUUUCCGGUGAAUUGUAACGUCAUUCUCACCACUCGCUCCCAGAAUAUUGCUAAUCAAGAAUCCGAACCUCAUAAGUUGAAGUUUCUUAUAGAAGAUGAAGGUUGGGCUUUACUUUAAAAAGUAGCAGACUUUUCUCCAGAUUGUGGCAGUUGAUGAAGAUUUAAAAGCAUUUGAACAUAUUUGAAGAGAAAUCGUGUUAAAGUGUGAAGGAUUUUGCACCAAAAAGAGCAAACUUUACUAGACUGGAAAAAGGUAAAUAUGAACAUGGAAACAUAUUUAAGGCAUGGAGAAGGUGUUGAAGAAUAUAGAAGGGUAAAACAAGGGUUGGAGUUGAGCUAUGAUGUCUUGCCUUAUUACUUGAAACCGUGCUUCCUUUAUUUAGCAUGUUUUCCCGAGGAUCACAAGAUUGAUACAGAGAGAUUGUAUUUAUUGUGGAUGGCGGAAGACUUCAUUUCAUAUCAAGAUAAAGGGCCUAACGAGAGCAGAUAUCUAACUGAGCUUGCUAUGAGGUGUAUGGUUCAACUGCAUAAGAGUCAAGUGUACAGCACUCUACAUAAGAAUUUUGAUUCAUGUGGGCUGCAUGAUUUGAUGCAUGAUCUCUGCUCUUCGAAGGCUGAAGAAGAAAAGUUUGUGAAGCGCAUUGAUGCUUCCAAAUAUCUGUGUGGCAUUCCUCCACCAAGGUUAGCACUGCUUCCAUCCAUUUGCAAUUCCAUAAGCAGAUUAGCCAUAAAUUAUGACCUCGAGAAGAGUAUAUCAAGUAUAGAUGGGCUAGAGGAACUUAAUCAUCUUCGUUGUUUAUGCUUCUCCGAAAAGGUAGUUUUCUUGGUUCACAAAUUGUCUUGAAAGAGAAUUCGAUUAACUUUGAGAAGUCGAGAAAUGGUUGAGGAUAUUUGUGGUAGAAGGUUAUGAGUUUGAAAGGGGAAUGUUACCAAGUAAGGUGGGUGAACUAAUUCAUUUAAGAUACUUGAGUUUGAUGUUGUCUAAUGUGAGAGAGCUACCAAAAUCUAUAUGCAGCAUGUUGUACUUGGCUAUCACCCUUGAUUGUUCUCAGAUUGCCAAAUGUGAUUUGGGAGAUGAAAAGACUAAAACAUUUGUUUCUUAGUAGGAGAAUAAAGUUGAUUGGAGAGGAGAAACUAAGACUAGAUGGACUAGAGGAGUUGGAGACAUUAGAAAGUAUCAGUAGUGAGACUACUUGCAUUGAAGAUAUUCCCAAAUUAGUAAGCCUGCAAAGUCUAUAUGUUAAGAGUUUAUGAUGUGGAUAGCCUGUCAAUUGUGUUGAGCAACAAAAAUAGCCAACUACGUGAGACUCAUCUCGUGGUUGAGUCAUGUGAUUUAAGUUCACAGAAAGGUAAUAAAUGAUGGGUUGAUGUCUCCUUCUUUGGUUACUAUGUGGUUCUACAAUUGCAAUAUGAGUGGCAAUUUUCCACACCACAAACAAGGGAUGUGUCAAAAGUUGGGACGAGGGUGUUGUAGAAGUGAUGGAGAUUGGGAAGUAUCCGAUGUUGCAAAGACUCGAGUUAAGGAAAGUAGAGAUGAGAGGAACAUUGAUUUUCCAUUCAAAUUCAUUUCCACAACUAAAGAAGCUUUAUCUUUCUGAUUUGAAAGAUAUGAAGAAAUGGGAAGUGAAAGAAAAAGCAUUGUCAAAACUUACUUUCUUGUCGAUCGAUUCGUGUUGUAAUUUGGAGAAGCUCAUCUCCACUCUUCAAGAGAUAAAAAUCAGGGGCAUGUCAAGUGAAUUCAUGGAGGGAGUAGAGGAAGGAGAUUAUGCCCCACUAGUCAAGAUUUUGAGAUUACCAACAAAACACCUGAUAUUCUUCCCAGAAUGACGUUAUUUCUUCCUGAUUUCUGUUUUCUCAAUUCUGGCGAAUCUCAAAUUAUUUAUUCCAAUGACUUGCUUCUCUCUUUGCAAUUCUUUUC